rnacentral:rRNA from 1 species
UACGUAGGGUCCAAGCGUUAUCCGGAAUCACUGGGCGUAAAGCGUGCGUAGGCGGGUGUUUAAGUGCAAUGCGAAAUCCUGUGGCUCAACCAUAUGGACUGUAUCGCAUACUGGAUACCUGGAGGAAUGCAGAGGCAAGUGGAAUUACUGGUGUAGCAGUGAAAUGCGUAGAGAUCAGUAGAACACCAAUGGCGAAGGCAGCUUGCUGGGCAUUUUCUGACACUAAG